AAAAAGGGCGCGUCACAAAGUCGGUCUUUAGACCUGACCAAUGUGUCAAAAGUUUUUAUUGAACUUUUGCGGUAUGGAUAUCAAGACAUAUCGAGCGCAUAAUUUUUUGAUUAUAUUGGAAGCUCGCUGUACUUUACUUUUGGCUUCGCU
rnacentral:snRNA from 18 species